rnacentral:rRNA from 1 species
UCGAGGAUCUUCGGCAAUGAGCGCAAGCUUGACCGAGCGACGCCGCGUGGAGGAUGAAGGCCUUCGGGUUGUAAACUCCUUUGGUGGGGGAGGAAAUUUGACCUACCCCAAGAACAAGCACGGGCUAAGUUCGUGCCAGCAGCCGCGGUAAGACGAACCGUGCGAACGUUGUUCGGAAUCACUGGGCUUAAAGGGCGCGUAGGUGGUUUGCCAAGUCAGGGGUGAAAUCCUUCGGCUUAACCGGAGAAUAGCCCCUGAUACUGGCGAGCUAGAGGAAGACAGAGGCAGCCGGAACUACCGGUGGAGCGGUGAAAUGUGUUGAUAUCGGUAGGAACGCCAGAGGCGCAAGCGGGCUGCUGGUUCUUUUCUGACACUGAUGCGCGAAAGCUAGGGUAGCGAACGGGAUUAGAUACCCCCGUAGUCC